AGAGCCCAGGCACAGGUACGUGACCCCUGGAUCUGCCCCAGGCCCCACCUGCACUCCAUCCCUUCCCCCAAGGCCACACCUCCACCCUAGUCCCACCUCUUCCCACCCUGUUCUGCCCUUGUCCCCCAGCACACCACAUCUUCUCUCCCCUUCCCCCCAACCUCCUGCAUGCCACCAAACAGCUGUUUGCAGCAGGUGGGAGUGGGGUGAAGGGAGGAGGAGGUGCUGAUAGGGGGGCUGCCGGUGGGUGCUCAGCACCCACCAUUUUCCCCCCAUGGAUGCUCCAGACCCAGACUACCCACAGAGUUGGUGCCUAUGAACCCAGGAGUCCUGGCUCCCAGUCCCCCCUGCUCUAACCACCAGCCCUCCCCUCUCCCAGAGCCAGGGAGAGAACCCAGGAGUCCUGGCUCCCAGCCCCCAUGUGACCAGGAUAGGAGGAUACUGAGGGGAUGUUAUGCCCACCUCUAUUUCACUCCCCUUCUCCCUGCUCCCUCCCCCUCUCUCUUUGCAGAAGCCUGGCUCAAGAUCUGCCUUGUCAGACAGCCGUCCUCAGAGCUCAGCCAGAUCGUGAGGUCUGCAUCAGCGUUCCUGGUGCCAACAUGAUGCGGCACAAACAGACCUCAAAUCCGCCGCGACUGUGUAUGGAGAAUGUUAACAGCUAUGGCACUGUCCCACCCCCACAUCAAAAAUCUGCCGCUCGGUUCCCCUCACACUGACACGGCCAAAACAUUUAGCCACCGACCUGUGUGCACCCCCAUCUGAUGCCUCUUAAAUUCCAUGCCCCCUAGACACUCAGCCAGUAGAAGGCUGAUGGUGCACCCCCAACACACAAGACUUACGGUCUAUAGAAAGACACCCAAAUGGAAACUGGGAGCUCAUAUUCCUCCAGGGAUAUAAUCUGUGAAUCUAAGGCCAGAAGAAACUACCAUAUCUACUCCAACCUCCUAUGUAACACCAGCCCGAAGACUUCCCUGAAUUAAUUCCUCUUUGGACUAGAGUAAGAUCUCUUAGAUCAACUUCCCAUCCCUGAUUUUAAAAUGACCAAUGAUGGAGGUGGUUAGAAAGUACAAUAUAUAAAUCAAUUUCCUUUCGCUUAGCUAAGCGUAUCCCCGAACCUUUAAACUGCUGUUGGUCAGCUAAGUCAGGAAGUUUUUAGGAAAUCCACCUAUCUGUAUAUUUCUUUCUCUAACCUCAUAAGGCGCUAAAGAACUCACCAAAGAUCAGCCGUCUGUGAACGUGUCGACAUGGGGAAAUCAACCAGCGUAGUUAUAGGGAAUAAUUAGAUCACUCUAGCAACACCAGCAUGAUUCCCCAUGUGGCCAGUCUGUACUUGACGGUGUGUAAAGAGGAGAAAUUAUGUAGCGGUAUAAAUUUCCAUUCAAUUUCCCCAUGUAGACAAGCUGUUCGACCCUAAAUCUAAGUGCCUAUUUUCCUGUGGAGAUUGAUUCAUUUCUAGCCCAUAGGGCUGAUUUAACCUUUAUUGUAUUCAGCUGUAAUGCAAGGAACCUACAGGCCUGUACCCUGUAAGACAUUGGCUUCAGCAAGUUAGCAUAAGUCUAGUUAAAUAGGGUAGGCCUGCGACCUGUGGCAUAGAGAGAGGGCCUAGAGGUUCCCUCUCAGUCUGAGGAACUACACCUCUACCCCGAUAGAACGCUGUCCUCGGGAGCCAAAAAAUCUUACCACGUUAUAGAUGAAACCGCGUUAUAUUGAACUUGCUUUGAUCCACCGGAGUGUGCAACCCCCGCCCCUCCCGAGCACUGCUUUACCGCGUUAUAUCCGAAUUUGUAUUCUAUCGGGUCGCGUUGUAUUGGGGUAGAGGUGUAGAGAAUGAGUUGGGGCCAGAAAAGGUUAAGCGACUAGCAGGCUAAAUGGCCCAAAUUCUACCUUGAAAGACAUUAUAAAAGUAUGUGCAUUAUAAUUAGGCUAUUCCUUAUAAAUAGCUAACGAAACCAUGUUAGAUAGACUAGAGCUUUCAGAUGUAGACUUGUACUGGUAGAGAAUUGGAAGAAGAUAGUGAUUGUAUUGAUCUGUGUUUCCCGAUAUCUUGUUAGAGGUUAACGAUGUAACCAGACAAUUCCUGUCUGUUACUAUGUUCUACUGAUUCAGGGAUCAAAAGGGGAUAUUAACGUUUAGAUGGAACUUGGGUGUGAUAAUACCAUUGUCUCUAUUUCUCUUUGAAGUCUGUAGUGAACUAUGAAUUGGCUUAAUGGAGAAUUACCUUAUGCUGAUGAAUGCAAUCGCCUUUGUAUACAUAGGCAAUAGGAGGUUUUACUGCAAAGCCGCAAUGUAUAUUACCUAUUCUUCACCCAAGGAAUAGCUGCUGUCACGAGGCUAUCCAUAGCCUGCCAGCGAUUUAUAAAAGAACUCUCAGGGCCCCAUCCUGUCCUCUCAGAUCUGCUUAAACUUGGUCAGGGAAAGCUUGAGCUGCAAGACAGAGGUGUCCAGCUCCAGUCUGGAUCACCCUGCUGCUGCUCGUGGAAAAAUUUGAACAAACUCUCUCUAUGGACUGUCUAAUUGGAUUAUAAGCCAAUGAACUGAUUCUGGGAAGAACUUCUUUGCAAGCCAGCACCCCACCAUCUCUACUAUGAACCUGCCCUAAGAACGCUAGUCAUAUCUGUAGGUACAAUCUUUUAACCACAAUACGCUCUUCCAUUUCUUUUUUUUAAUAAACUUUAGUUUGGUUAAUAAGAAUUGGCUGUAAAUGCGUAUUUGGGUGAGAUCUGAAAUAUUCAUUGACCUGGUGGGUGACGUGUCCGAUCCCUUGAAACUGGUAGACCUUCAUGUGUGAUGAACAAGAUUUUCAGUAAUCCUCACCAUAUUUGCCUUGGCUGUCUGGGUGGGAGCCUGUGAUGGGGUGCACUUGCCCCACACUGGAGAGGAAGGGGUUAAGCCAGCACUCUUGGCAGCAGAAGCCACGCCCCCUCGCCCCUACUGGGCAUGCUCCAACCGCGGCUGCUGCGGUAUAAAAAGGAGCAGCUCAGCUCAGUCUGGGCUGACCGCCGAGGGGGAAGGACGCACUGCGCCAGCUCAAGCCUGGGAGCAGCCAGAACCGCAGACCGUGGGAGCAGGAAACGCCAGGACCCAGACAGGUGCUCAGGAACCUGUGGACGCCCCAGGGAGAUUUCAGUGUCUGGGAGCAGCGCCGCCCAAGGGGCCUGGAGGCUCCAAGGGUGCCUAGUCUUCAGCUGCAGGAGUCAUGGGGAAAAGACAUUCCAGACCCGAUGUGCUGUAUGGAAAAGGGAAACUGAGGCACCCGACCAUAUUGCUUUGACGGCUAAAUGCCAAGAUUCCUGUACUAUGGACAACAUUGUCCCGAUAUUAAUUGGGUUCCAAAGAUUUGCCAGAGCUUGUGUGGAUAAAGUAGCUGUAUGAUGUUCUUUAGCUCUUGGCAAGAUCCCAUGAGACAUACAGGAAUCCUGCUGCAACAGCGGAUGCAAUCCACUAUUGUUCUAACCAAGUUUUACCUUGAGUUUGUAAAGAGAUUCAAUCAUGUUAUUGAACAUGACUUGGAUAAACCAUUUCUGUUACACACUGGUACGGCUUCUAACCCAACACUAGCUGCAGUAAAACAGACUCAAGGAUGGACACAAGCUCAUUGUGUCAACUGCCCCUUUUAAUCGACCCGGUGCCUUCCAGCUGCGCGCCGCCCCACUUAGCGCUCUCCCCAGGGUCAGAUUAAGUCUCCUGUGGGCCCAGGGCAUUUAGAUUUUGUGGGGCCCCCUGUAUUCACAUCUUUUUCCUAAUUUAAAAAGAAAUGAUCACAGUCGUGGCAUCAAGGCUACUAAUGCUGUAUUCAACUUGCCUUUUAAUUAACAUCAAGCCGUUCUGGGGUUACAUUUCAGCCUUCAAACGUAGAAUACAGUUACGUGAAUUCAGAA